GAUGCAGAUUGACCACCUAAAUCAAGACUAGGCCUACAUGGUAUAUCAGCUGGUAGCGAAUGGUGAUGAUGGUAAACGAACUGGAUGAAGUGCAUACCUCUUGAUGAAUGGUGAGUAUACAGGUAAUCUGUAAUCCACAGGUUUCAGGCAUGAAGAUGAAGGAGAUCAUUGGAGAGACAAAAGAAACACAGAAUCAACACAGGAGAUAAGCAAGUUGAAUCACCAAGAUAAGUAGAGCAGACAAGGAGCCUGUUUCCACAUUCAAGGCCAGACGAUGAGUGACUAAGAGGUGUGUGCUUUAGUACUGGUGCUGAGUGCUGCAGUGAUGAGGAACACGUGACUGUGAUUAGAACUCAGGAGAGAGUGAGCGCUGUGUGAGUGUGACUGGAGAGACAGAAAGCAGUUUCAAAUAGAAAUAUCUUAUUGUCAAGAGCCAGUCCAAAAUACCAUCAUUCAAUAGAUCUGGAAACAAUUUAUAUUAAUUUAUAUCAAGUUGCUUGCUUUCUGUCUAUGACAGAAGAGCUCAAUGCAAACCAUGUUGUAUCAACAUAUACUGUAUCACAUAUCAUCAGUGGUUGAGGUCACUAUUUAAAUCUGGUUCUACCAAUACUGAAUUCUGACCACAUAAUAAAAAGUUAAGCUAUUCAAAAUGUGUUGUGGCCAUUUCCCAGUCUCCAUACUUGUGCACACAGUGAGGUGAUUAAGGUCAGUAUUCUCUUUCAGUUCAACUAUUGUCAUAGUGGAUCAAAAUAAACUUGUUUAGUAAGAUAAAGUUAGUAUGUUUAGCUCAUAGACCAGGGGUCGGCAAGUAAGUUUGGCAUUGGGCCAAAAAAGAAAAAUCGCCACUAGAUGGCGGGCCAGAACAUAGUCAAAGGAAAUGUAAGAAAUUAAUUGAAAAAAUGCAACUAGAAUUGCCUGUGACAGACUGUUACAGUGUCUUUUGUAACUGGUAGUGAGCUGUUACUCUGUAUUAAAUCCUGUAGAAGGACAGUCAUUAACAAAAAGCCACAUUUGUGUGGUGGUGUCCGGGUUAUACACUGGAUAAAUUAAUAAAGCAGAGUAGUGACACGUAACCUGGCAAGUAUCUUCAUUCACCAAUUUGCAACACAGACUGCCUUGCUAAAACACACAUAUGUUAGAGUUGCGGAAUGGAUAAAAAUAACUUGAAAAAGCCCAUUAAUGGCAUGUUUAUAUAAAUAAUCAUGCUCUUAAUGAACUAUGUUUUAUUUCCUCUUUCAAUAUUGUGAAUAAUAAAUGUGUAUCAUUUUAAUUUGCUUGUUACACAAUUGGAGCCUAACUUAUUGUAAUAAUUAUUUGACGUAGCCUACUUUAGCACUCAGAAUUAUUCCUUGGCAUCCUCACGUAUAAACUGAAGUUGAGGUACUGGAGGUACGCUAUUACGUCGUGUGCAGAAUGAUGUCAACAUUUAAGCUUGCUGGUGAGAGAAAAUGGCACUAUCAAAGAGUCUAAAGAGGAAAGUUGUCAGCGAAAAUAGACAACACAAUGACAAUAUUAGAUGGCACCACGAGACAAAGAUCUAUUUCAGAACCAGCUGCUAUCAAAAUAACCUGGCUGCGGACACAGGCUAGAUAUUAUUGCUGGCGGGCCAGUUUUGGCCCAAGGGCCGCCUAUUGCCGACCACUGUCAUAGACUGAGAAAAGAUAGACUUAAGAAAAGAUGGACGACGCAUCUUCAUUCUCUUCUAUUGCAGAAAAGUGAAGCCUCCAAUGUCCCAAUAUGGCGCUGACAUCUUAAGACCUGAGUCUGCACAGUAGUGAACCCAGAGCCCGAGUCUGCACACUAGUGAGCGUGAAGUGGAACCGCGGUAUCAAGGCCCCAGCCACACUCCCGCAGAAUCGCUCAUUAUCUGCCGUCUGUCUGUUUGAUGUGGUUAGCCGCAGGAGCUGCAUUUGAAGUCUGUGUGGCCCGUCUAUCACGAACAUGCUAAUCCAGCGGAAAACCAAGCUCCAGACACCUGUUCCACACAACAUCU